rnacentral:rRNA from 1 species
AGUUUNGNUNUCAUGGCUCCAGAAUUGAACGCUGGNGGCANNGCUUNNNCNNCAUGCAAAGUCGAGCGGAGAGAGGUAGCUUUGCUACUGAUCUUAGCGGCGGGACGGGUGAGUAAUACUUAGGAAUCUGCCUAUUUAGUGGGGGACAACAUCUCGAAAGGGAUGCUAAUACCGCAUACGUCCUACGGGAGAAAGCAGGGGAUCUUUAUGACCUUGCGCUAAUAGAUGAGCCUAAGUCGGAUUAGCUAGUUGGUGGGGUAAAGGCCUACCAAGGCGACGAUCUGUAGCGGGUCUGAGAGGAUGAUCCGCCACACUGGGACUGAGACACGGCCCAGACUCCUACGGGAGGCAGCAGUGGGGAAUAUUGGACAAUGGGGGGAACCCUGAUCCAGCCAUGCCGCGUGUGUGAAGAAGGCCUUAUGGUUGUAAAGCACUUUAAGCGAGGAGGAGGCUUACCUGGUUAAUACCCAGGAUAAGUGGACGUUACUCGCAGAAUAAGCACCGGCUAACUCUGUGCCAGCAGCCGCGGUAAUACAGAGGGUGCAAGCGUUAAUCGGAUUUACUGGGCGUAAAGCGCGCGUAGGCGGCCAAUUAAGUCAAAUGUGAAAUCCCCGAGCUUAACUUGGGAAUUGCAUUCGAUACUGUUUGGCUAGAGUGUGGGAGAGGAUGGUAGAAUUCCAGGUGUAGCGGUGAAAUGCGUAGAGAUCUGGAGGAAUACCGAUGGCGAAGGCAGCCAUCUGGCCUAACACUGACGCUGAGGUGCGAAAGCAUGGGGAGCAAACAGGAUUAGAUACCCUGGUAGUCCAUGCCGUAAACGAUGUCUACUAGCCGUUGGGGCCUUUGAGGCUUUAGUGGCGCAGCUAACGCGAUAAGUAGACCGCCUGGGGAGUACGGUCGCAAGACUAAAACUCAAAUGAAUUGACGGGGGCCCGCACAAG